rnacentral:rRNA from 1 species
GUGGGGAAUAUUGGACAAUGGGGGGAACCCUGAUCCAGCCAUGCCGCGUGUGUGAAGAAGGCCUUUUGGUUGUAAAGCACUUUAAGCGAGGAGGAGGCUACCGAGAUUAAUACUCUUGGAUAGUGGACGUUACUCGCAGAAUAAGCACCGGCUAACUCUGUGCCAGCAGCCACGGUAAUACAGAGGGUGCAAGCGUUAAUCGGAUUUACUGGGCGUAAAGCGCGCGUAGGUGGCCAAUUAAGUCAAAUGUGAAAUCCCCGAGCUUAACUUGGGAAUUGCAUUCGAUACUGGUUGGCUAGAGUAUGGGAGAGGAUGGUAGAAUUCCAGGUGUAGCGGUGAAAUGCGUAGAGAUCUGGAGGAAUACCGAUGGCGAAGGCAGCCAUCUGGCCUAAUACUGACACUGAGGUGCGAAAGCAUGGGGAGCAAACAGGAUUAGAAACCCGAGUAGUCC